AGCAGCCGCGGUAAUUCCAGCUCCAAUAGCGUAUAUUAAAGUUGUUGCAGUUAAAAAGCUCGUAGUUGAAUUUCGGGAUCACCAGGUUGGUCGUGCCUCCGGUAUGUACUUGCUUCGGUGGUCCCUCCUUCUUGAAGAACCGUAAUGCCAUUAAUUUGGUGUUGCGGGGAAACAGGACUGUUACUUUGAAAAAUUAGAGUGUUUAAAGCAGGCAAUCGCUUGAAUACAUUAGCAUGGAAUAAUGAAAUAGGACGUUCGAUCCUAUUUUGUUGGUUUCUAGGAUUGACGUAAUGAUUAAUAGGGAUAGUUGGGGGCAUUAGUAUUCAAUUGUCAGAGGUGAAAUUCUUGGAUUUAUUGAAGACUAACUACUGCGAAAGCAUUUGCCAAGGAUGUUUUCAUUAAUCAAGAACGAAAGUUAGGGGAUCGAAGACGAUCAGAU
rnacentral:rRNA from 1 species